rnacentral:ncRNA from 1 species
AAAAAUGCGAUGAUGGCGCACAAAGAGUUGUAUUUUCCCACAGAGAGAGGGAGUCGUCGGCUGGGAGCUUCCUUGGGUUCAGAUGCAGCUUGAAUUUCACGCCGGAGCUGUCCUUUUGAAGGCCUUUGGGUUUAGGAGGGAACGUGGCGGCACGUUACGCCGGAAUGAGAGCCUGCGGUGCACAGGGCGUUAAACGCCGGAUGUGAAGCAGGAAUGUGGGUGGUACCGCGGAAAUUAUUUCGUCCCUGGA